CCUACGGGGGGCAGCAGUGAGGAAUAUUGGUCAAUGGACGCAAGUCUGAGCCAGCCAUGCCGCGUGCAGGAAGACGGCUCUAUGUGUUGUAAACUUCUUUUGUCCGGGGGUAAACGCGGAUACGCGUAUCUGUCUGAAAGUAUCGUACGAAUAAGGAUCGGCUAACUCCGUGCCAGCAGCCGCGGUAAUACGGAGGAUUCAAGCGUUAUCCGGAUUUAUUGGGUUUAAAGGGUGCGUAGGCGGUCGGAUAAGUUAGAGGUGAAAUCCCGAGGCUCAACCUCGGAAUUGCCUCUGAUACUGUCCGGCUAGAGAGUAGUUGCGGUAGGCGGAAUGUAUGGUGUAGCGGUGAAAUGCUUAGAGAUCAUACAGAACACCGAUUGCGAAGGCAGCUUACCAAGCUACUUCUGACGUUGAGGCACGAAAGCGUGGGGAGCAAACAGGAUUAGAUACCCGAGUAGUC
rnacentral:rRNA from 1 species